UGGCUCAGUCGGUAGAGCAUGGUGUUUUGCAACGCCAGGGUUGUGGGUUCGAUUCCCAC
rfam:Salmo salar isolate Sally breed double haploid chromosome ssa10, whole genome shotgun sequence.